GGUAGAGGAGCGGCUGCGCUGGGGUGACCGCCCCCUCCCGCCUCCCUCGGCACAGGCACGGUGCGCCGCGGGCGAGCGAGCGGCCUCGGCGGCGCUGCUGCCGCCGUUGCCCCCCACAGGGCUCAGCGGAGGAGGAGGAUGGCGGCAGCGGUCGCGGCGGCGGCGAGCACAGCAGCAGCAGUGGCGGGGCCGAGCGGCCGCCCGGCGGGAGCCAGCACCGUCCCGAGCAGCUCAUGGUGGCGCCCCAGACCCGCCAGCAACGGCCGCGCCGGGGCCGCCAGCUGAGCCGGAUCCCGGCGGGCGGCUCUCCCCUCUCGACACCGACCCACCGAGCGACCCGUUCCCCUCCCCCGGCGCACCCUCUUCCCCCUCCCCGGCGCGACCCGCGGCUCGGAUCGCCCCCGCCGGGGCCGGACUCCCGCCGUCCCCAGGCGCCGCGGGGAAGGCGGCGGCGAAGGGCACCGGGCAGCGCCAGGCGGCGGCGGGACCAUGGGCGCGAAGCAGAGCAGCCCCACCGCCGCCAACGGCCGCACCCGGGCGUACUCGGGCGGGGAUUUACCUUCCUCCAGCAGCAGCAGCAGCGGCGGCGCUAACGGGACCGGCGGGCGCUCGGCCGGCGCUGGCGGGCGGUACGCGCACCUGGCGGCGGCGCCUCAUGCCGCUCCCGGCGGCGCGACGGCGGCAGGAGGAGCGGCGGCGGCGGCGGCCACAGCGGGGGGUGCCGCGGGGUCGGCACCCCGGAGCAGGUCCUUAGGGGGGGCCACGGCCUCCGGGGCCCGGGCCGCGCAGUCCGCCUUCAACAUCCCCCACAGCAGCGGUCCCUACGGCUCGCAGGACUCGGUCAACAGCACCCCGGAGGAGGGCGGCCGGGAGCGGCCCGCGGGGGGUGGCGGCGGCAGCGGCUCCUCCGGCGGGCCCCGGCUAGUGAUCGGCUCGCUGCCCGCUCACCUCUCGCCGCACCUGUUCGGAGGAUUCAAGUGCCCUGUAUGUUCAAAAUUUGUAUCUUCUGAUGAAAUGGAUUUACAUCUUGUGAUGUGUUUGACAAAACCGAGGAUAACCUACAAUGAGGAUGUGCUGAGCAAAGAUGCUGGGGAGUGUGCAAUAUGCCUGGAAGAGCUGCAGCAAGGAGAUACUAUAGCACGGCUGCCUUGCCUCUGCAUAUAUCAUAAAGGCUGCAUAGAUGAAUGGUUUGAAGUAAAUAGAUCUUGCCCUGAGCAUCCCUCUGAUUAAGACAAGAUUCAUGUUUUUAGCUGCUUCCACUGAUCAGAAAACAUAGAUGUGAGGUUCCCGUGCUGAACACAGCGUGCCUGGCUUGAGACUUACAGUUCUUUGUGGCUGAAAAAGGCAAAGACGGACAGUGACAUGGAAAAAGCGUUGCAGACGCCGGUUACUUGCCAGUAGUGCUCGGUAUACCAAACACUCAUGCAAAGGACACACAGGGAUUUUGAAAAUGCUGCACAUUCUGUAACAAUCGACUCCCCACAGACAUUACUGACACUUUUGUAUUGAAGGCCAAAGUUCCUAAUUUCAGACUAACUUGUGGUUCUGUGAAGAAGCGGGUUAUUGGACAUGUUUCCUACUGCCCCAAGCGGAAGCGGAGACGUUCGAUACGUGCUAUCUGAGACCCUUGCAGGAGGAUGGCCCCAGUUUUGAGUGGGAACGUUUUCACCUUCUCGUUGGCUGAAGAAGAGUAAAUGGCAAACUAAAUAUAAUCUAACAGUGUGACCUUAAUUUACUGAAUUCAUGCCUGUUUUAUGUUCUUCACUUUUUUUUCAAGAACAGAAAACAUAAACUUCUCUGCAUAGGAAUACUAUAUUUCAGAACUUUGUAACUAAACCUUUGUCACAAUGCAGUCCAAAGAGUAAAACCAAGACAGUUGGGAGCUUCCUGCCGAGAGACCACCGUCUACCUGGGAGCGCCGAAGUGCUGCUAUGGACCUUCCAGCUCACCUUUGCCGGUGGAGGAUUAUCUCAUUUUUUGAUGACUGCUAUAUUUUAUGAUUCACUUUACACCCCUCCAAGCUUAAAAGUCAUUUUAGUAUUAACAUCUUCCCCUCUUCCCAGCUGAAGACAUGAUACAUCUUAGGCCGUAUCCCCUCAAUCUUUGGACAGGCUUUCCAUUGGCAUCAGCAAAAGUAACAUCGGAGGCUGUAGCUGGAAGAGAAGGGCUCGUUACGGGGUUUGAUACAACCCGGCCAAAAGGGGUUUUUCCUGCAGCAGUGUCAUCAGCUCAUAUCACUUCUUGUCCUUCAAAAUACUCUAUGUGAGAAAUUCAUGACAGAACUGUGUCCAGUUUUUGUUUCCGAAACGCAAAACUUCUGUGAUGUUUCUCCAUAUAAAUUAACCUGCUUCUAAAAUCAGGUUGAAGAUGUUUUAGCCUGUUGGGGAAAAACAAAAACCAAAAGAGCAACAAAAAAGUCCUUACUCUCAAGUUGCAUUUGGUUAUCUUACUGCAGAGUUUGGCUGGCUUCCCAAGCCACUGCAUGGCAUUCUGUAAAGUCAUUUCUCAAUUAAGGACAUCAGAGGUGACAAAGGGAUAAACUGUAAAGUGACCUCACCGUGGGGCAUCGCUAGUUGCUGAAGACUCGCUCAGGUAAACCAUCGUAGGAAUACCGUGCACCUGAAAAAGGUUGGACUUGGUUCUGUCUCUGAUCUAACAAGUUGCCGGCGUACAAGGAGUAGGAGGCAGCAAGCCCGCUAGCUGAUCUUUCUGGCAGCUUUUAAUCUGUCUGUGUUUGUUUGAGAGACUUUUGCCCUUGGGUGUGCUUUGGCAAAGGUUUUGCAACGAUAAGUAGGAUUUGCUUGAUUCUGGCAGAGUUUCAAGCGUAAGUAACCCGACGUUGCAAGUACACGAUCUGUUGCUGAAUCCUGUUCCUCUUGUUUUCUCUCAAAUCUGUGCUUUUUAUUGCUAAUUUGUUAUAUUUAAUAGUAAACACUUCUCAACACGACUGGUCACAAGCUCUCAAGGUGUGAAAUGCUAACAGGAAGAGACAUCAAAGUGCGAUUCCGUGCUUUUCCUGUGCAUAUUAAGAUGAAGCUGAAGUGUUCAUUAUCGUACAGUCAAGAAUUCUCUCCUAGCUGAUAUUGCCAAAGCACUGUAACUUUCAAGGAAGAAGGGAGGUGGCUUUAGCUGUAGAGGGGAUGUUUGAACGAACUACUUAAUUUUGAAAGCUGCAGCAUCGCGCUGAACGAGUGGUGAGCCAGCAUUAACCUUAUCACUUGGCUGCGAAUCUCAGUCUGGCUCUUCCUCCCCUUCGGCUGGUACCUGCUGGUAGGGAGCAGAGCGUAUAUUCCCCUUUUUUAUAUGCCUCGUCCCACAGAGCUAACCCUGCCCACAACGAGUUAGAGGGAACUCCGUGCUACCUUCUGAGAUGCCACCCGUACGUGCAGCGGUAAUGGGCAAGAUGUCUUCCUUCAUUACCUGGAGCAGAAAUCGGAAUGUAAUUUGCAAUGUCUAAUGUAAAAACGUGUUUGUAUCUUUUUUUUUUUUUAAUUGAGCAGUAUGAUUGCAAGUUGACUUAAGUUGUUCUAAGGUACUCUUUUUCAGUGGUUUGCCAGUACAUAAUCAUGAAUGAAAAUAUUUUUUUAUUGAUUUUUAGGUUGUAUGUUUAACAUUCCAUUCAUGUAAAAUAUGUACAAAUAU